rnacentral:misc_RNA from 1 species
UCCGGCUUAGAACCGGCAGUUCCGUUAAAGUGCCCAGCCAAACCUGAUGGCAACUAACGGUAAGGGUUGCGCUCGUUGCGGGACUUAACCCAACAUCUCACGACACGAGCUGACGACAGCCAUGCAGCACCUGUGUAACGCCAGCCGAACUGAAAGGGGAAUCUCUCCUCCCUAAACGUUACAUGUCAAAAGCUGGUAAGGUUCUGCGCGUUGCUUCGAAUUAAACCACAUACUCCACCGCUUGUGCGGGUCCCCGUCAAUUUCUUUGAGUUUUAACCUUGCGGCCGUACUCCCCAGGCGGGAUGCUUAUCGCGUUAGCUUCAACACUGAAGAUCAUAUCUCCAACGUCGAGCAUCCAUCGUUUACGGCGUGGACUAC